rnacentral:rRNA from 1 species
CAGUCGCCGCGGUAAUACAGAGGGUGCGAGCGUUAAUCGGAUUUACUGGGCGUAAAGCGUGCGUAGGCGGCUUCUUGAGUCGGAUGUGAAAUCCCUGAGCUUAACUUAGGAAUUGCAUUCGAUACUGGGAAGCUAGAGUAUGGGAGAGGAUGGUAGAAUUCCAGGUGUAGCGGUGAAAUGCGUAGAGAUCUGGAGGAAUACCGAUGGCGAAGGCAGCCAUCUGGCCUAAUACUGACGCUGAGGUACGAAAGCAUGGGGAGCAAACAGGAUUAGAUACCCCCGUAGUCCCUGUCUCUUAUAC